rnacentral:rRNA from 16 species
ACAGUGUCGUGAUAGUAAUACAACCUAGUACGAGAGGAACCGUUGAUUCACACAAUUGGUCAUCGUGCUUGGUUGAAAAGCCAGUGGCGCAAAGCUACGGUGUGCCGGAUUAUGACUGGAAGCCUCUAAGUCAGAAUCCAAGCUAGCAUGCGACGCCUGUGCCCGCCGCUCGCCCCGACCCACGUUAGGGGCGCUUGCGCCCCCAAGGGCCCAUGCCAUUGGCUAAGACGGUCCGGCCGACCUGCCGUAAUCGGCCGCCUUGAAGCUCCCUUCCCAACGGGCGGUGGGAUGAAUCCUUUGCAGUCGACUUCAAUACGCGACAGGGCAUUGUAAGUGGAAGAGUGGCCUUGCUGCCACGAUCCACCGAGAUCCAGCACCAUGUCCCACGGAUUC